ACUACGGUACGGUUAGAACGAGAAUGCAAGAAGCUUUAGACAAAUUGUCGAAAUGGUCUAAUGACUGGGGAUUUCGAAUAUCUGAAAGUAAAACAGAAGGCAUGCUUUUCUGUAGGGACCAUAGGGAAGUUUCGUCUAUGAAACUGGAAUUGAACAAUAUCGGAAUUGAAUUUAAAGAUCAGGCAAAGCUUCUAGAGUAUGAUGAUGACGACUGGUGUUGUGGGUUGAAUUGUUUUCCAGCAGAUGCCAAGGUAGAAACAAAGACACAAACCAAAUACGUAAAAGACUUGGAAGUCGGGGACCAAGUAAAAGUUUUUUUAGAAGAUGGAACCAUUGACUUCUCAGAGGUAUGGGUAAUAGCCCAUGACGAUCCCAGUUCAACUGCUACGUAUUUAAUAUUAUCUACAAGCACACAUACAUUACCUAUCAGUCAUCACCAUUUCGUUCCCGUUACUAAUGAAAAAAAAUCUACAUGUAACUUUGAAUAUAAGAUGGCAGCAGAGAUAAAGGUAGGAGACUACCUUUGGACAACAAUUGGUGGAGAGAACCAACCCACUACAGAGAUGGUUAUAAAUAUAGAGAAAGUAGAAAGAAGGGAGUGUUUGCACCUUUCACUAAAAAUGGCUGCAUCCUUGUAAACGGUGUCCAAGCCUCAGUUUAUGCAGAGGUGAAACCAGCCUUGGCUCACCCUGCUCUAGCUGGCCUUAGAGAAAAAUAUGACGUCACACCAAAAGCCGAAAUGAAGGCAUUUCUUGAACCAAACGAAAACGGCGUGCCUAAGGUUUUUGAUGAGGCUUUCAAAAUGUUGCGGCAGUUAAUGCCGCCAUAUUAAGCACAAUACGCUUUAGAGGUUUUCCAUUGUUUAAAAAUUAAAUUUUCCGAAAGCUAGAUCAUCUUUGCAAAAAUUAUAUCUGUAACUUAAAUUAUGUCUAUUAUUAUUCGUUGUUAGUUUUAAAUAACACAGAAAUAUAUAUGGUUAGAUGAAAAAUAGAACUGUAUUGAACUUUUCAUACUCAAUUUUCUUUUACCUUAAUUCUAAAACAAUAGACAAUAUAUUCUCAAUCUGAUUAAAAUACAGUUCUAAAUUUCGUUUUUUAAUUUCCAUUUUGAUCUGACUGGUUUGCAAUAGAGGUCACGUUAGGGGUCACUUGGGUGAACUUUGACUAAAUGACUGUUUAUAUCUUGACAUAGAUGUUUCGCAUAAUUUAGUGCAUCAAAACAGACCAAUUCAGUGAAUACGUAAAUACACAAUACGUCACUUGGUUAAUCCGGCGCUGAAAGUGUUAUCCAAAAUCGCACGGGAGGUUAUUUCUGAUUAAGAUUAAAGACAGAAUUGAACAUCCACUUUCUUCAAAUUAGUUGCUUUUAGUUGACCUUAGUUGUUAAACGUGUUACUUAUAAAUAAAAUAUCUUAACUUUC